rnacentral:lncRNA from 1 species
UAUAAAUUGAUUACAUUGGUUAUCAUUGAUGUUUAAGCGCUAAAUAUGUCAUUGUAAAAUGUUUACAUUGGUUACGUUCUCAAUAUGUUAUUGUAAUAUGUCCACAUUGGUCAUCUUCAAAAGCUUAAUUUCUGUGUCAUAAACAAGAGUGUUAUUAGAUGGUUUUGGAACCAAACCACAGUGAAGAACAUAAGGUUUUAUGUAACUGUGAUAUUUAUUACUGCUCCUUUUCUGGUGUACAACAUGUAUUCAUGCCCUCUAAUUGUAUGGGUCUUCUAACAUUGUUUAUGGUAAUAACCUUUUGAUUCAGGUAUUUGCCCUUCUCUUAUGCUCCAGCCACCUAUGAAAAUAGGCACACUUGUAGGCUGAUAUAUUUUCCUUAGAUGAUGUCCUAUAAAAAGAUAGCUACUCAGGGAUCCAACCACAACAGCAACUAUCAUUGGCAAUAAUAACAGUUUAACUAUAUUUUUAUUCCAAAAUGCUUAUAUCCAGGUAAAAUUAUAAUAGUUGAGUUCACUACUCCUCUUACAAUGCUAAUGUUAUUGAUCUUCUCUUCUGGGUGUUCAACAACCAAAGUUUAGAGACCAAAACUGAAGAGGUAUUUGGGCUAAGAAGGCAGCCAAUAUUUUGGCCCUGGCCCUCCAAGGUCAACAACAAUAACAAAAAGAUCCAGGACAUAAGGGAACUAUCUCUGAGAUCCUGUAUUUUUGGUGAGUCAUCCAACCUCCUGAGCAGGGAGGUUGCUGAACACCAAAACAGUAAAGAUCCAACAAAAAGUGUGCCAAAGGAAUGUCACCUGGAGGAAAAAAUCUCCCAUGCUUUCGCAGGAAGCAACAUGGUCAAGCAAGGCCGUGACAUAUCCUUAUGGCUGACACUGACAGAGGAGCUAAGAGGCUCUAUGCAUGGUUCCAAGACAGUGCCUGUGGAGACUUAAUUGACCUUGUUAGAUAACAAGAGAUUGAUUUUAUUUAAUAUAGGUCUCACCGUAACUUGGUCUUAAACACCCAGUAGAAAAGUAUAACUAAAGACAAUGGUUAUUUGAGUUCAACAAAAGUUUUAAGUUUUUAAACCCAAUGUUUAAAAACAAAUUGCUAGAUUUUUUAAUCCUUUUUAAUUUUUAAUCCUAAGAAAAAUUAUGCUUAUUAUAGACAGCUAAGCCAGUCAAACUAUAGAUCCUCACACUACAUAGGGACAAGCCAUUGCUCGGUUGGCCACCCAGAAAAUAAUUAUUCUGGUCUUAAUUCACUAAGGGGACCCCCUAGUAAUUUUUAUAAUCUUAUGGGAGACACACCACAACAAAUAUUGUCUCAAUGUGUUAUUAUAAAUUGAUUACAUUGGUUAUCAUUGAAGUUUAAAUUCUAA